GCAUGAUAAUCGAUUUAUGGUGGGCCCUUCAUGUGGGCCUCUCAUAGUGGACCCAUGCUAGAGUAAACGGCAGCCUCGAACCAUUGCCCAGCCUCCUCAGCCAUGGGCUGUGAGCACUGAAGGGGGUUGUACAUUG
ensembl:snoRNA